rnacentral:rRNA from 1 species
AUGGGUUUCAAUCUAGCUUUGUUAGCCAAACAAGCGUGGCGUCCGCUUGAUAAUCCGGAGUCCUUAUGUGCUUCUAUCUUGAGAGCUAAAUACUUCCCGGAAGGUGAUUUAAUGAAUGCAAGCCUAAAAAAGGGUUUCUCUUUUACUUGGCAAAGUAUUGUGGCGGGAGUGAAUUCUCUAACAAAUGGUUACAUUAGCGAGUUGGAAAUGGACAAAAUAUUGAUAUUUGAAGAGAUGCAUGGAUCCCGAAUUGUGCGACUAGGAAAAUCAUUACUCCUGGAAUGGGGCAUCUUCUGUCAAAGGUUUCUAAUCUUAUUAAUCCAGUCACGAGUUCUUGGGAUGAAGAUUUGGUAA